rnacentral:rRNA from 1 species
GGUAACUUAGUCUUUUAUUCAUUAUUAAUGGAUCACUCAAUCUACACAUCAAUAUAAUUCAUUUAAGAAGAGUUAUUUAUAUCUCCCCAUCACCCCAAUCAAACAAUUUUGAUUUAAAUCUCACUUCACUCUAAACACAUUUAUUACCUUUAAAUUGUUAAGCUCUAUAGGGUCUUCUCGUCCUCCAAUUUCAUUUUAGCCUUUUAACUAAAAAGUUAAAUUUUAACUUAAUCCUUACGAGACAGUCAAUACCUCGUCCAACCAUUCAUACCGGCCUCUAAUUAAGAGACUAAUGAUUAUGCUACCUUUGCACGGUCAAAAUACCGCGGCCCUUCAAUUCUUCAGUGGGCAGGUUAGACCUCUUAUUUAUUCAAGAACGCG